rnacentral:lncRNA from 1 species
UAGAAUAUAAAUUCUGGGUAAAAUCCAAAUAAAUCUCCCAUUAGCUUAAAUUUUCUUGAUAAAAUUUGAUUUUCUUCUUCACAUAAUCUUCAUCACUGUUGCUUGACAUGAUUAUUGGUAUUGGUUGAAAGAAGCCCAAAAAUAAGUUAACAAGAGCCCAUGCAAUAGACUAAAUAUAGGUUAAAACUGACAUAAUUGAAAGAAGCUCAUGUAUUAAAAAAACAUGAGUUAAAACUUGCAUUGCAGCCCAUGUGUUAUAAUAGACAUUGGUUAAAACUAGCAUUAGUUAAAAGUGGCCAAAAUAUGGUUAAAAUGAGUUUUUAUUUCUAUAAAGAUGCAGUAGUAGGGGUUUUGAAUAUUUCUUGAUUGUAAAAUUAUCUCUACAUGUAGCAUCAUGUUCAAACUUUUUUUUGGGAUAAAUCUUCAUUAUCGUCAAAUUGUUUGUUGCUUGAUCUGCACCCACCUUCAACCUGUCUUCAACUUUGCUUUAACCAUUCGCUCUGAUACCACUUGAUAUGAUCGAAAUAACAUAGUGCAUGUGAAAGCUAAUAAAGAGAAUUUUGAUGACAAUAAAUCAAACAACAAAGAGAACUACACUCAAAAGCUUAUACUUUAAUAUGAUUAGUCAAUUGACCUACAUAUGAUAAAAUUAACAUAACGUAAAAUAAACUAUUGUGAGAAAAAUCUUUCCCUAAACAAAAUUCUUUAAUGACUACAUUGUGGAAGUUAUGUUUUUGUUGUGAGAAGAAAGUAUCAAUUUAUAUAAGUACAAAACUUCUCCUCCAAGAAAAGGGUAAGACAUAGGAAAGAGAUAUAUUUUUUUUAAGAAUCUUUUUCUUUUUCUUCAAAAAAAAGAGAGUCCUAAUAGAAUAUAAAUUCAGAGCAAAAUCCUUCCCUUUUGCUUGAAUUUUUUUGACAAAACUUGAAUUUUUUCUUUUUCACAUAAUCUUCAUCACUGGUGUUUGACAUGAUUAAAAUAUGUAUAGGUUGAAAAACCUUAGUAUUGGUUGAAAGAAUCCUAAAAAUAGGUUAAUAGAAGCCCAUGUAAUAAGACUAAACAUAGAUUAAAAUUGAUAUGGUUAAAAGAAGUUCAUGUAUCAAAGAGAAGCAUGGGUUAAAACUUGCAUUGUAGCCCAUGUUAGGGCUGUGCACGAAUCGGAUCGGAUCAGAUUUAUCACAUUUCGGAUUCGGAUUCUAAAAAAUGCAAUCCGAAUCUGAUCCGAAUUAUAUAGGACCGGAUCGGAUUUUAAAGUUUGGAUCGGAUCGAAUUUAGGAUCGUAUUAUUAUAUCUCAAAGUUACAAACUAAUAUGUAUAUUUUCUUUGUAAAAGAGGCAAUACAUUAAGAAAAUUCAUGUUUAUUUCAAUUAUGAGAGUACUAUGGUGCCAAUAUAGCUAAAUCUAGCAAUUGUAAAGGUAAUAACUUGGAGGAAGAUGUAAAGGAAGUAUUGACUAUUAGAAAUUAAAGUGCACUAUUUAUAUAUUGCCUAAUAAUUUUGGAUUUAGGAUCAGAUCGGAUUAAAAUAUACCAAUCCGAAUCCGAUCCAAAAUUCAAAAUUUUAAUAAACACAAUCCAAAAUCCGAUCCAAUCCGAAAUUCAAAAUUCAAAAUUAAAUGGAUCGGUUCUGAUUUCAGAUAUCCGAUCCGAAUAAGCAGCCCUAGCCCAUGUGUUAUAAUAGAUAUUGGUUAAAAGUGGCCAAAAUAUGGGUUAAAAGGAGUUUUUAUUUUUGUAAAGAUAUAGUAACAGAGGUUUUGAAUACUUAUAAUUGUAAAUUUAUAUCCACAUGUUGCAUCAUAUUCAAAAAAGUUUUUUUUUGGAUAAAUCUUCAUUAUCGUCAAAUUGAUUGUUUCUUGAUUUGAACUCACCUUGAAUUUAUCUUCAACCUUGCUUCAACCAUUGACUCUGAACUAUUGACUCUGAUACCACUUGUUGGGCUCGAAAUAAUAUGAUGCAUGCGGGAGCUAACAAAGAGAAUUUUGAUGAUACUAAAAAAGCAUAAAACUUUAAUAAGGUUGGUCAAUUGACCUACAUAUUAUAAAAUUAAUAUAAAAGAAAAAAACUAUCAAAAGAAAAAUCUCUCCCUAAACAAACUCUUUGGUGUUUAUAUUGUGGAAGUUGUAUUCUUGUCGUGAGAAGAAAAUAUCAAUUUAUAGAAGUAAAAACCUCUCUUCCAAGAAAAGGAAAAGGCAUAUGGAAGAGAUUUAAUCAUUUUAGGAGUAUUUUUCCCUUCCUUCAAGAAAGAGAGUCAUAAUAGAAUAUAAAUUCAGGAAAAAAUUCUAAUAGUUACCCGAUCUACUGUGUAAAUAUAUGUCAAUGCUGGGUUUAAAUGCAUUGGGUAGGCAUUAUGCAGCUUGCCCUCAAGCUCUGCGUGACCCUAAAGAAAUCGUAAGAGAAUUGAUUGUCAAAGAAGGGUGAAUUGACUAAUUGGCCACAAAAAAAUUUGGAGAUGGAAAUAUUGACUUUUAACACCAUUAAUCCAAAAUGUGAGCAAAUAGUAUCUCAAUUAUCUGCCAAGGAGAAGCUGUUGAUGGAGGAGCUCUCAAAAGGCACCCACAAGAUAAUGCUUAAAGGAAUAGCUCAUGAGGUCACCAUUGAUCAUUUAAUACCUUACAGUGACAUUGAUUAGAAGGCCUUCCACGUUUACAUGGAUAUUGACAUUUAUUGGAACGUGGUUUCAUUAAGAUUGGCUGAUUUUAUAAUGGUCGAUAUCACAUCAACCAUCUACAAGUUGGUUGAUGACAUUGAUUGGCUAGAAUAUAUGAUAUCUGUAGGGGUCUAAUAAGGGAAAAUCAGCAUAUCAUAGUGUAUGUACCUUCUUCAAAACGUACGAUAUUUGAAGAGCAUCUACAGGCCCUUAAGGAGAAGUUGACAAUAAUAUAAUAUGCAACUUUAUUUUAGAACGGUAUUGGGUAUUAAGUGAUGAAAGGUGUCUAUUUUUUUGUUGGUAUUUUGUGGUUGAUAUUCUUUUAGUUUGCUCUUUUUAUUUUCGGGCUUGAUGUAAUUCUACUUCCGCAAGAAGUUCAUUGGGAUGCAGUAGCUUGACUGUUAGUCUUUUUUAUGUUUAGGUGUCAUUACUUAAUUUUUAAUGUAUUUUUUGAGUUUGGAUGAUCUCUUCGUUUUAAUAUAUCUUAUGAGUUUCAUUGUCUAAUUUAUGAUGAAAGUUCAUGCAUGAGCAUUAUAUUUAGUUGUAAAUCUUUUUUCUCUUUUAUCAUUUUAUCAAAGAAUAUCUAAUAGUUUUGUCAUAGUAGUUUUAUGUGAAUGUUUUCUUACAACUAGAUAAGUGUUUCAUUUUUUAUUUUAAAAAAAAUAUUAUAUUAUAUCUGAUAAGAGAUGAGUUUAGUUAAAUGAUUUAAAUCUGAUGAAAAAUGUGCAUCUUUUUUUUUUUUCUCUUCUUUAUGUACCUUUUGAAUUAACUAGACUACGGCUCUAGUCCAACCCAAGAACCACUGAGCAAAUGAGACAGUUGUCUCAGAUAUUGUGACCCCGCCCCAUACAAAAUUACCACUAUCACCUCUCUCCCCUCCCCCCCAAAAAAAAUUUAUUGGAGAGGUACUGUGCAAGUUGCCCUCAAAUUCUGAGCCCUAAAGAAGCCGUGAGACAUUUGGUUGAAUCAGACUUAGGAUGAGAUUGAUUUCUUGAACUUUUUCUUGCAAAAAAGUUCACGGAAAUAUAAGAUCAUCUAAGGGAGUUACCUGGUCUACUGUGGAGUUAUAUUUCAAAGCUGGUUUUUAAUGUAUUGGAGGGGCACUGUGCAACUUGCCUUCAAAUUCUGAGCCCUAAAGAAGCCGUGAGACAUUUGGUUGAAUCAGAGAAGGAUGCAUUGGCUGAUUGGCCACAGAAAUAUUUGGAGAUGGAAAGAUUGAUUUUCAACACCAUCAAUCCAAAAUAUGAGGUAUUGGUUUGUCAAUCAUCUACCCUGGAGAAGCAGCUGAUGGAGGAGCUCUCGAAAGGUGCCCACACGAUGAUGCUUAACAAUAUAAGCCUGGAGUUGGUCAACAUUGAUCAUUUAUCAAAUUAUAACAGUGAUAUUAUUCAGAAAGCCUUCCAAGUUUACAUAAAAGCUGGUAUUUAUUGGGAUAUUGUUUCAUUGAGAUUGGCUGAUUUUAUGAUGGUCUAUAUGACAUCAACUAUCUAGAAGUUGGUUGAUAAGAUUGAAGGGGAUGUAUUUAUUCAUAUGUGUCGUGGUCUAAUGGGGUAUGAUAAGCAUUUCAUUCUGCCUGUUCUAUCUCCAAAACGAGUGAUGCUUGAAGAGCGUCUAGAAGCCCUUAAGAAGCAGUUCGCGGCCAUCAUGGAAGUUUAAUUUGUUUUUGAACGUGAUCGAGCAUUAACUGAUGCAUGAAAGGUGUCUGUUUUUUUAUUUGUUUUUAUUUUGUGGUUUAUGUUCUUAGUUAGUUUUUUUUUUUUAAUUUUCGGAUUUUGAUGUAAUUAUGCUACUGCAAAAAGUCCGUUGGAAUGCAGUAGCUUGGUUGUUAAUCUUUUCAUGUUUAGGUGUGUCAUCAUCACUUGGUUUUUAAAUAUUUUGUGAGUUUAGAUAA